rnacentral:rRNA from 1 species
GACGAACGCUGGCGGCGUGCUUAACACAUGCAAGUCGAACGAAGUGGCGAACGGGAGAGUAACGAGUAAUCAACCUGCCCUUCAGCGGGGGACAACAGUUGGAAACGACUGCUAAUACCGCAUACUGAAUGAGGGGAUUGCGUCUGAUUGGCUAGUUGGAGGGGUAACGGACCACCAGGGCGAUGCGAAGUAGCACGGCGGAGAGGAUGCGCGGCCAGAGGGGGACUUAGACAAGGGCCAGACUCCUACGGGAGGCAGCAGUGGGGAAUCUUCCGCAAUGGAGGAAAGUCUGACGGAGCAACGCCGCGUGAGUGAUGACGGCCUUCGGGUUGUAAAGCUCUGUUAAUCGGGACGCGGUACCGGAAUAGAAAGCCACGGCUAACUACGUGCCAGCAGCCGCGGUAAUUC